AGCGGCAGACUGGUGAGUAACACGUGAGUAAUUUACCCUUAAGCCGGGGAUAGCCUUGCGAAAGCGAGGGUAAUACCUGAUGUGUUUACGAAGGCAUAAGUUUUCGUAAGUAAAGGUGCGCAAGUGCUGCUUAUGGAUGAGCUCGCGUCCUAUCAGCUAGUUGGUAGGGUAAUGGCCUACCAAGGCUAUUGACGGGUAGCUGGCCUGAGAGGGUGGUCAGCCACACGGGGACUGAGACACUGCCCCGACUCCUACGGGAGGCUGCAGUCGAGGAUAUUUAGCAAUGGGGGAAACCCUGACUAUGCGACGCCGCGUGAGGGAUGAAGGUCUUCGGAUUGUAAACCUCUUUCGAUGGGGAAGAAUACCCGCGCUAACCACGCGGAUUGACGGUACCCAGAGAAGAAGCCACGGCCAACUCUGUGCCAGCAGCCGCGGUAAGACAGAGGUGGCGAGCGUUACUCGGAUUAUUGGGUGUAAAGGGCAGUAGCGGCUAUGUAAGUUGGAGGUGAAAUCCUGCGGCUCAACCGCAGAACUGCCUUCAAAACUGCAUGGCUUGAGGCUGGAAGAGGAAAGCGGAAUUCCCGGUGUAAGGGUGAAAUCUGUAGAUAUCGGGAGGAACACCAGUGGCGAAGGCGGCUUUCUGGUCUGGCCCUGACGCUGAGCUGCGAAAGCUUGGGUAGCAAACAGGAUUAGAUACCCUGGUAGUCCAAGCCGUAAACGAUGAGCACUAGGUGUUGGGUCGUAAGAUUCAGCGCCGUAAGAUAACUCGUUAAGUGCUCCACCUGGGGACUACGGCCGCAAGGCUAAAACUCAAAGGAAUUGACGGGGGCCCGCACAAGCGGUGGAACAUGUGGUUCAAUUCGACGCUACGCGAAGAACCUCACCAGGGCUUGACAUGCAGGAAGUAGGAAGCGGAAACGCAGACAACCUGUCAAGUCAGGAGCCUGCACAGGUGUUGCAUGGCUGUCGUCAGCUCGUGUCGUGAGAUGUUGGGUUAAGUCCCGCAACGAGCGCAACCAUCAUCCUUAGUUGCUACUCAGCCUUUCCGUAAGGAUGGGCUGGGGCACUCUAAGGAGACUGCCUGCGAUAAGCAGGAGGAAGGUGGAGAUGACGUCAAGUCAGUACGGCCUAUAUGCCCUGGGCUACACACGUGUUACAAUGCCCUUUACAAAGCGUUGCCAAGCCGCGAGGUGGAGCUAAUCGCAAAAAAAAGGGCUCAGUUCAGAUUGGAGUCUGCAAUUUGACUCCAUGAAG
rnacentral:rRNA from 1 species